rnacentral:lncRNA from 1 species
GCACUUUUUAAAAAGGAUAAAUAUCUUAAAAUAAUAAUAAUAAUUUUUUAAAAAAUCAAAAUGGAUAAAAAUCUUGAUUUCUGCCUUCUCUUUCUGCCUUUGAGAUGGAGCCACCCUCUCUCAAGCUGCCAAGACCCCACGGCUCCCUUUCAUCCCUCUGGUUUUGAGGCUCAGCUGUCAGUUAUCAUUCAUAUGCACUGGUGUUUUUCUGAUGAUAGAGAACCAGUUCUCUGUAGCCAGGCCUCCACCUGAGCAAAUCUAGCUGAGCAAGCUUCAGGACAAAUGGAGAAAGCAUAUUUCUUUGUGGAGAAAAAAUUAUUCCUAUAUGAUUUAAUAUGCACAACCAUAUGCCUACAACUCUGAUAUAUAGUGCGCAUCUUCUCCUGCACGAUGCCUGUCUCUAUCCUCUCCCUACAGGCAUUGGUGUUUGCAGCCCUUGGCCUACAAUCUUUCCACGUGUGUCUGCAGCCUCUCUCCUAUCAGAGUGGAUCUCCAGGUUCUUUGAGGAUCAUCCCCGUAACUUCUAUAGUAUCCACCGCCCUCAGUUCCCUACAACACCUGCUAUGGGACUGUUGACUAAAGACGCCUCGGUAUGUGACCGGCUGUCACUUCCAACAAAAUCUUUGAAGAUGAUAACAGAGUAAGUGCUCAGUAAUCUUUAGAAUCCAAUUCCAGAUAAGCCCAUGCUUUAAAACAGAAUCGUGGACACUCUCUUCUUCCCCAACAAGGGAUGGAUCCCACCUUCGGAAUGCUCUGAACGCUCUGCAUCUUUCUGGAAACUUCCCUGACCUUUGUUUGCCUCAUUUUCUCCUAUCUGUCAAAUGGAGCCACACUAGCUACUAUUCAUCAAGCGAUUUCAAGGAAAUGUGAGGCUCUUAAAGAAGAUUUCAAUCUCAGACUUAGAAUUCUCAUUACAAUGGCUUGUUUCACCUUCAAAGCACGAUAGCAUUAACGAGGUCUGCCUAAUUACACUGCAGAGCAAUGGCUUGCAUUUAUGUUGCUGCAUGUGACGGAAAUUGGGGUGGUCAUUUGUCGAAAACAUUCCCAUGCCUGAGAGAUAGGUACAUAAACUUUCAGCCUUAUCUGAUUAUCAAUGAAGGUUUUGUAUGUGUG